rnacentral:rRNA from 1 species
AAUAGAUACCCCGGUAGUCCACGCCGUAAACGAUGAGUGCUAAGUGUUAGAGGGUUUCCGCCCUUUAGUGCUGAAGUUAACGCAUUAAGCACUCCGCCUGGGGAGUACGGCCGCAAGGCUGAAACUCAAAGGAAUUGACGGGGGCCCGCACAAGCGGUGGAGCAUGUGGUUUAAUUCGAAGCAACGCGAAGAACCUUACCAGGUCUUGACAUCCUCUGACAACCCUAGAGAUAGGGCUUCUCCUUCGGGAGCAGAGUGACAGGUGGUGCAUGGUUGUCGUCAGCUCGUGUCGUGAGAUGUUGGGUUAAGUCCCGCAACGAGCGCAACCCUUGAUCUUAGUUGCCAUCAUUAAGUUGGGCACUCUAAGGUGACUGCCGGUGACAAACCGGAGGAAGGUGGGGAUGACGUCAAAUCAUCAUGCCCCUUAUGACCUGGGCUACACACGUGCUACAAUGGACGGUACAAAGAGCUGCAAGACCGCGAGGUGGAGCUAAUCUCAUAAAACCGUUCUCAGUUCGGAUUGUAGGCUGCUAAC